rnacentral:rRNA from 1 species
GCUCAGAUUGAACGCUGGCGGCAUGCUUUACACAUGCAAGUCGAACGGCAGCACGAAAGAGCUUGCUCUUUUGGUGGCGAGUGGCGAACGGGUGAGUAAUACAUUGGAACGUACCGAGUAAUGGGGGAUAACUGUCCGAAAGGAUGGCUAAUACCGCAUACGCUCUGAGGAGGAAAGCGGGGGACCUUCGGGCCUCGCGUUAUUCGAGCGGCCAAUGUCUGAUUAGCUAGUUGGUGGGGUAAAGGCCUACCAAGGCGACGAUCAGUAGUGGGUCUGAGAGGAUGAUCCGCCACACUGGGACUGAGACACGGCCCAGACUCCUACGGGAGGCAGCAGUGGGGAAUUUUGGACAAUGGGCGAAAGCCUGAUCCAGCCAUGCCGCGUGUCUGAAGAAGGCCUUCGGGUUGUAAAGGACUUUUGUCAGGGAAGAAAGGGUU